rnacentral:rRNA from 1 species
CCAACAGGGAUUGCCUCAGUAACGGCGAGUGAAGCGGCAACAGCUCAAAUUUGAAAUCUGGCCUCCUUGGGGGUCCGAGUUGUAAUUUGUAGAGGAUGCUUCGGCGUGGGCCCCGGUCUAAGUUCCUUGGAACAGGACGUCACAGAGGGUGAGAAUCCCGUACGUGGCCGUGGGUGCUCGCCAUGUGAAGCUCCUUCGACGAGUCGAGUUGUUUGGGAAUGCAGCUCUAAAUGGGAGGUAUAUUUCUUCUAAAGCUAAAUAUUGGCCAGAGACCGAUAGCGCACAAGUAGAGUGAUCGAAAGAUGAAAAGCACUUUGGAAAGAGAGUCAAAAAGUACGUGAAAUUGUUGAAAGGGAAGCGCUUGCAACCAGACCUGUCUGCAGUUGCUCAUCCGGGCUUCUGCCCGGUGCACUCUUCUGCAGUCAGGCCAGCAUCAGUUCUGGCGGUCGGAUAAAGGCGGUGGGAAUGUGGCUCCUCUCGGGGAGUGUUAUAGCCCAUCGUGCAAUGCGGCCAGCUGGGACUGAGGUCCGCGCUUCGGCUAGGAUGCUGGCGUAAUGGUUGUAAGCGGCCCGUCUUGAAACACGGACCAAGGAGUCUAACAUCUGUGCGAGUGUUUGGGUGUCAAGCCCAGGCGCGUAAUGAAAGUGAACGGAGGCGGGAACCUUCGGGUGCACCGUCGACCGAUCCUGAUGUCUUCGGAUGGAUUUGAGUAAGAGCAUAGCUGUUGGGACCCGAAAGAUGGUGAACUAUGCCUGAAUAGGGUGAAGCCAGAGGAAACUCUGGUGGAGGCUCGCAGCGGUUCUGACGUGCAAAUCGAUCGUCAAAUUUGGGCAUAGGGGCGAAAGACUAAUCGAAC